UACGGGGGGGGCAAGCGUUGUUCGGAAUUACUGGGCGUAAAGGGCGCGUAGGCGGCCUGCUAAGUCGGACGUGAAAUCCCUCGGCUCAACCGGGGAACUGCGUCCGAUACUGGUGGGCUCGAAUCCGGGAGAGGGAUGUGGAAUUCCAGGUGUAGCGGUGAAAUGCGUAGAUAUCUGGAGGAACACCGGUGGCGAAGGCGGCAUCCUGGACCGGUAUUGACGCUGAUGCGCGAAAGCCAGGGGAGCCAA
rnacentral:rRNA from 1 species